rnacentral:lncRNA from 1 species
UGUUUUGCAGCCGGAGCUGACUAAGACACGGGAGAAGGGAUGAGAGGAGGCGGUGAACUCGUCUUGCACGUGUGAAAGGCCUCUGGCUGCACAUGUGGUGCCAUCUCAGCGCGUCCUCCCCACACCUGGAGGUGACAGCACACAGGUUUUUGUGACAAGUGGAACAGGAGAGGGAAGAUGAUAACUCCGGGGAGGUCAAGCACCCACACGAGCGCUCACAGCAGGGAGAUACUAUCCCAGAUCAAGCUGAUGAGAGCUGCCACCAGAAAUGACUGCGAGCAAGCCCCAGAAACCCCAUGGGCGCUGAGUCUCAUCACCGAAGGAAAUGUUCUGCUGCAUUUUAUUUCCUCUUUGAAAUAUUUCUGUUCCAACAUCCUGAAGGGAAGAAAGACAGAAAAUAGUUCCCAGCUAAAUGCCGCAUCUUCAGAAACGUGAACACAGGAAAGUCUGGAGUCUCCUGACCUGUGUGUAGUCCCUCCUCUGAACUCCAGGUUCAAGAGGCAGGUUCCUGCUGUACGAGAUGAGGAAGACCCCAAACCCCGAUGCACAUGGCCAGUGGUCAGCAUGCCAGCCCCAGACAGACUUGCCCGGGAACACAGCACUGGCCAGGGGCUGUUACAUGCCUCAUCACCUUAAACCUUCACAACAGCUUGACAGCAAGAGACGGGCUAUUGCUGCUCUUUUCCAUAUGAACUGUAUGAAGCUGGACAGCGGCAGCGAUUUUCCUAAGAGCCAAUUACUGGGCAGCAGCUGAGCCGGGACUUGCAGCAGAGGCUCCGUGUGGUGGUUUAUUUUCUCUCUGGGACAGGGCAGGUCCAGCCUCACCUGGGGACCUGCAGGAUCUUCUCACAGGUCCCACACCCUCUUACCAACCAGCAAGGAGCAAAGGAGGUCUUGGUUUUCAGGUUCUUGAUGAUUUCCAGCCGUGGGCUUGCUCUGAAGGCGUCUUGGAUAAGGACAGACGUGUUGGCUCUGAGAACCCACCCUGAGUUCACUCUUACAGUUCAAACAUCCUUGAUCCACGUGCCCGGUUAAAAUGUGAGUCAUCCUCAGAGGGAUAAAUGGCGAUGUCACUAACCUGCAGGAUGAAUUCUUUCUUGGGAUCUGGUUCUAGAAAUGGCUCGUGGUGGGUGGAGCCCCUACCAGUGAGCUUGAGGAAGCAGAGCCUUGCUCAGCGUUGAGCAGCUUGCUCUGGUGUGACCUUGUCUGUGCCCUUGGCUCUGGAGGGCCUCCUCCGGGAGCCCCUGUGUCCAGCCUCACACCCACUGGCAUUCCACAGAGGACUGCAGCUGUAAAAGGCCUGAACUCAGAAGGUUAGUAACCACGGAGAACAGGCCGAGUCUGCCAAACUUCAUGUUGCGAGCAGGUCUCCGAAAGUUACGGCGGUGUGCAUGGUCUCACGCAUGUCCACGGGCUGGAGCGAGGCUUCAUGCCC